UCAAGCUACUAAGGGCAUACGGCGGAUGCCUAGGCGCCAUCAGCCGAUGAAGGACGCGGUAAGCUGCGAAAAGCUACGGGGAACUGCAAGCAAGUAUUGAUCCGUAGAUGUCCGAAUGGGGAAACCCACCUGCCGUCAUGGGCAGGUAUCCGAAAGGAAGGGAACCCGGGGAACUGAAACAUCUAAGUACCCGGAGGAAGAGAAAUCAAACGAGAUGCCCACAGUAGCGGCGAGCGAAGAGGGCAGAGGGCAAACCGGGGAGCUACGGCUCUCCGGGGUUGAGGACUGCAUUUAGUCUUAAUGGUCUAUCCGAACUACCUGGAAAGGUAGGCAACACAGUGUAAAAGCCACGUAGGUUAAAGACCAGAGAGAUGAGCAGUAUCCAGAGUACCACGAGGCACGAGGAAUCUUGUGGGAAGCCGGGGGGACCACCCUCCAACCCUAAACACUGAAUGGCGACCGAUAGCGCAUAGUACCGUGAGGGAAAGGUGAAAAGAACCCCGGGAGGGGAGUGAAAGAGAACCUGAAACCGUAUGUCUACAAGCAGUCGGAGCGAAAGCGACGGCGUGCCUAUUGAAGAAUGAACCAACGAGUUACGUGCACUAGCGAGGUUAAGUGGAAGACACGGAGCCGAAGCGAAAGCGAGUCUUAAGAGGGCGGAUAGUUAGUGUACGUAGACCCGAAACCGCAGUGAUCUACCCAUGUCCAGGUUGAAGCGCAGGUAAAAUUGCGUGGAGGACCGAACCUGUGAGCGUUGAAAAGCUUUAGGAUGAGAUGUGGGUAGAGGUGAAAUUCCAAUCGAACGCGGAGAUAGCUGGUUCUCCCCGAAAUAGCUUUAGGGCUAGCCUCAAGUAGUAAGUAUAGGCGGUAGAGCACUGAUCGGGCUAGGGGCCAUAAAGGUUACCGAACCCUGUCAAACUCCGAAUGGUUAUACUGUAGAGCUUGGGAGUCAGACUACGAGUGAUAAGAUCCGUGGUCAAAAGGGAAACAGCCCAGACCACCAGCUAAGGUCCCCAAUGUCGUACUAAGUGGAAAAGGAUGUGGGGUCUCUAAAACAACCAGGAUGUUGGCUUAGAAGCAGCCACCAUUUAAAGAGUGCGUAAUAGCUCACUGGUCGAGAGACCCUGCGCCGAAGAUUACCGGGGCUAAAGUACGAAACCGAAGCUGUGGCUACGACGUAAGUCGUGGGGUAGGGGAGCGUUCUGUGAGGGCUGAAGUCGUUCUGUAAGGAACGGUGGACUUCACAGAAGUGAGAAUGUUGGUAUGAGUAGCGAAAAGAAUGGUGAGAAUCCAUUCCACCGAAAGCAUAAGGAUUCCUGGGCAACGAUCGUCGUCCCAGGGUAAGUCGGGACCUAAUCCGAGGCAUAGAGCGUAGGAGAUGGACAACUGGCAGAUAUUCCAGUACCGGUAAUGAUUGUUUGAGCGAUGGAGUGACACAGGAGGGCAGGCAGGCAGGAGAUUGGUUGUUCCUGUACAAGCGUGUAGGAUGGGUUGUAGGCAAAUCCGCAACCUGUGAGUCUGAGGCGUGAUGUGGAGGUUCCGGAAACGGAACUGAAGCUGCUGACCCCACACUGUCGAGAAAAGCUUCUAGUUAGAGAAUUACCGCCCGUACCGUAAACCGACACAGGUAUGCGGGGAGAGAAUCCUAAGGUGCGCGGGAGAACCCUCGUUAAGGAACUCGGCAAAAUGUACCCGUAACUUCGGGAUAAGGGUAGCCGCUGUUGUGAAGUCUGAACAGACGGAGCAUGAGGCGGUCGCAGAGAAGAGGCCCAAGCGACUGUUUACCACAAACACAGGUGCCUGCUAAAGAGAAAUCUGACGUAUAGGUGCUGACACCUGCCCAGUGCCGGAAGGUUAAGGAAGGAUGUCCGGAGCAAUCCAAAGCAUUCGACCGAAGCCCCGGUGAACGGCGGCCGUAACUAUAACGGUCCUAAGGUAGCGAAAUUCCUUGUCGGGUAAG
rnacentral:rRNA from 1 species